GGCAAUCAAACAGAAAACCGAUCAGCGAACAUGUUCUAACUGCGUUGCUGCCAAAAUGCCUCUCGCUCUCUGCCACUGCUUCAGUGUCAGCAUCAGCAUCAGCAUCCACAUCCACUUCCUACUUCAACUAGCAAAAGUUGCGCUCAGCUGUGCAAAAGAUUCAAAGACGGCGACAGCAAGUUUUCAAAGCUCAAUUGCUGCGGCGGCACAAAAUUGCAGAGAAAUUCCUUUGGCUUAAUUAGCCUCUUUCGUUCGGGGCGAAAAUAUUUUCAACUCAGCGACGUCGCAACGCAAGAAAGCGGCACAACAACAGCAAUAGCAACAGCAACUGCUAGCAGUAACAACGGGCAUCGGGCAUCGGGAGCGGCAAAAGCAGGAGGGUAAAAACAACUCAGAGCUGAGCUCAGUGCGGCUCAGCGCAGCAGCGCACAAAUGAAACCAUUUUAUUUUGUGUGUGUGUGUGUGCUCUGGCUCUGGCUCCGCUCUGCCGCAGUCGUUGCUGCCAAAGCCGCCGCUCUCAGCCCGUUGCCUCUUCUCGACCAACGUCAUCGUCAUAAUCAGAGUUUUAACAUUUUAUGUACAGUGCGCUACAGUAAGCACUCGCUUAAAGCAAAUGGAAUUUAUACCAAAUACUAGUAUGUUAUGAAGCAACAUUGACAGCGAGUGCUCACUGUAUGUAUACAGUCUUUACACACACUUGUACAUACACAUAGAGAGCCGGAGCUCGUUUCGUUCGGUCGUACAUUCGUUCGUUCGCUCGUUCGUUUGUUCGUUCGCUCGUUCGCUCUGCUGCCUCUCCCACAAUCGCAACGAUUUUGACUCACACUGCUGACUCUGUUAUAUACACAUAACCUACAAAAAUAUAUAGCUACGACUCUGGCUCUGGUGCGAGUGCCGAGUAAAUGCGAUACGAUAUUUGUGCGGCGCAUCGUGUGCGCUGUCAGGCGGUUUGCGAUGGCGAUGGUGAGGGCGAUUUCGGUGACUGCGACGGGGCAGGGAUGGCAGGCAGGCUGGCUGGCAGACAGGCGGCAUAACAUCAGCAGUGCCAGCAGCAACAACAACAGAAAUACAACUUACACAGGGUUGCCAGGCACUCAAAAUGCCAACGGCAUUGAACUCUCAUUGCGACUGCAGAUACCUUUGUAUCUUAGAGAUAUGAUGAUUGUAUGUGGAAAUUGGAGAAAGCGUUUACAAAAAAUGUUAUAUAUUAUUGAU